GAUAGGUCUCUGUCGCUACUGUGAUUGGACACUGACACAGAGUCAACUAGCCUUGUCUGCGCGGUUCUUAGCGCGCAGAACCGGGGCGGUCCGAGCCACGAGGGGGGAGGCUCGGACCGUCCGUU
rnacentral:ncRNA from 14 species